CCUACGGGUGGCAGCAGUGAGGAAUAUUGGUCAAUGGGCGCGAGCCUGAACCAGCCAAGUCGCGUGAGGGAAGACGGUCCUAUGGAUUGUAAACCUCUUUUGUCGGGGAGCAAAAGACGCCACGCGUGGCGUUCCGAGAGUACCCGAAGAAAAAGCAUCGGCUAACUCCGUGCCAGCAGCCGCGGUAAUACGGAGGAUGCGAGCGUUAUCCGGAUUUAUUGGGUUUAAAGGGUGCGCAGGCGGAAGAUGAAGUCAGCGGUAAAAUUGGGGGGCUCAACCUCGUCGAGCCGUUGAAACUGGUUGUCUUGAGUGAGCGAGAGGUAUGCGGAAUGCGGAGUGUAGCGGUGAAAUGCUUAGAUAUCACGCAGAACUCCGAUUGCGAAGGCAGCAUACCGGCGCUCAACUGACGCUGAUGCACGAAAGUGUGGGUAUCGAACAGGAUUAGAUACCCCAGUAGUC
rnacentral:rRNA from 1 species